rnacentral:rRNA from 1 species
UGGGGAAUUUUGGACAAUGGGCGCAAGCCUGAUCCAGCCAUGCCGCGUGCGGGAAGAAGGCCUUCGGGUUGUAAACCGCUUUUGUCAGGGAAGAAAUCUUCUGGGCUAAUACCUCGGGAGGAUGACGGUACCUGAAGAAUAAGCACCGGCUAACUACGUGCCAGCAGCCGCGGUAAUACGUAGGGUGCGAGCGUUAAUCGGAAUUACUGGGCGUAAAGCGUGCGCAGGCGGUCUUGCAAGACAGGUGUGAAAUCCCCGGGCUUAACCUGGGAACUGCACUUGUGACUGCAAGGCUGGAGUACGGCAGAGGGGGAUGGAAUUCCGCGUGUAGCAGUGAAAUGCGUAGAUAUGCGGAGGAACACCGAUGGCGAAGGCAAUCCCCUGGGCCUGUACUGACGCUCAUGCACGAAAGCGUGGGGAGCAAACAGGAUUAGAUACCCUGGUAGUCCACGCCCUAAACGAUGUCAACUGGUUGUUGGACGGCUUGCUGUUCAGUAACGAAGCUAACGCGUGAAGUUGACCGCCUGGGGAGUACGGUCGCAAGAUUA